GACGAACGCUGGCGGCGUGCUUAACACAUGCAAGCCGAACGGAAAGGCCCUGCUUUUGUGGGGUGCUCGAGUGGCGAACGGGUGAGUAACACGUGAGUAACCUGCCCUUGACUUUGGGAUAACUUCAGGAAACUGGGGCUAAUACCGGAUAGGAGCUCCUGCUGCAUGGUGGGGGUUGGAAAGUUUCGGCGGUUGGGGAUGGACUCGCGGCUUAUCAGCGUGUUGGUGGGGUAGUGGCUUACCAAGGCUUUGACGGGUAGCCGGCCUGAGAGGGUGACCGGACACAUUGGGACUGAGAUACGGCCCAGACUCCUACGGGAGGCAGCAGUGGGGAAUAUUGCACAAUGGGCGGAAGCCUGAUGCAGCAACGCCGCGUGCGGGAUGACGGCCUUCGGGUUGUAAACCGCUUUCGCCUGUGACGAAGCGUGAGUGACGGUAAUGGGUAAAGAAGCACCGGCUAACUACGUG
rnacentral:rRNA from 1 species